CCCUUAGAUGUUCUGGGCUGCACGCGUGUUACAAUCGGGAGUACAACAAGAUUGCAAAUCCUAGUGGAUGAGUGGUUCUUCGAAAUUUUCUGAAGACUGGGAUAGUUGAUUGAAAUUAUUCAACUCGAACGAGGAAUUCCUUGUAAUUGUAAUUCAUUAUAUUGUAAUGAAUACGUCCCUGCCCGUUGUACACACCGCCCGUCGCUCCUACCGAUUGAACGAUCCGGUGAAUUAUUUGGAGUAGCUCUGGAAGUUGCAGAACUUCCUAUGUCACGAAAUUUUGUAAACCUUAUCGUUUAGAGGAAGGAAAAGUCGUAACA
rnacentral:rRNA from 1 species